AUUGAACGCUGGCGGCAUGCCUUACACAUGCAAGGUCGAACGGCAGCACGGGAGCAAUCCUGGUGGCGAGUGGCGAACGGGUGAGUAAUAUAUCGGAACGUGCCCAGCCGGUGGGGGAUAACGUAGCGAAAGCUACGCUAAUACCGCAUACGAUCUAUGGAUGAAAGCGGGGGAUCGCAAGACCUUGCGCGAUUGGAGCGGCCGAUAUCAGAUUAGGUAGUUGGUGGGGUAAAGGCUCACCAAGCCAACGAUCUGUAGCUGGUCUGAGAGGACGACCAGCCACACUGGAACUGAGACACGGUCCAGACUCCUACGGGAGGCAGCAGUGGGGAAUUUUGGACAAUGGACGCAAGUCUGAUCCAGCCAUUCCGCGUGCAGGAUGAAGGCCCUCGGGUUGUAAACUGCUUUUGUACGGAACGAAAAGGUUUCUAUUAAUACUAGGAGCUCAUGACGGUACCGUAAGAAUAAGCACCGGCUAACUACGUG
rnacentral:rRNA from 1 species